rnacentral:rRNA from 1 species
GACGAACGCUGGCGGCGUGCCUAAUACAUGCAAGUAGGACGAGCGGCGGACGUGUGAGUAAUGUAUGGGGCCUGCCCGAUAGAGGGGGAUAACUACUGGAAACGGUGGCUAAUACCGCAUACUAUCGGAUAACCCAUAUGGGCUUGGCUGGUAGGUGGGGUAAAGGCUCACCUGGGCGACGAUCUCUAGCUGGUCGGAGAGGAUGAUAGGCCACCCGGGGACUGGAACACGGCCCAGCCCCCUACGGAGGCAGCAGUGGGGAAUAUUGCACAAUGAGCGAAAGCCUGAUGAAGCCAGGCGGCGUAGAUGAGGAAGGCCUUAGGGUUGAAAAGUACGUUCAGCGGGGAGGCGUUAACCGCACAAGAAGCGACGGCUAACUCCGUGCCAGCAGCCGCGGUAAUAC